rnacentral:rRNA from 1 species
UACGAAGGGGGCUAGCGUUGCUCGGAAUUACUGGGCGUAAAGCGCACGUAGGCGGCUUUCUAAGUCGGGGGUGAAAUCCUGGAGCUCAACUCCAGAACUGCCUUCGAUACUGGAGAGCUUGAGUCCGGGAGAGGUGAGUGGAACUGCGAGUGUAGAGGUGAAAUUCGUAGAUAUUCGCAAGAACACCAGUGGCGAAGGCGACUUACUGGACACAUAUUGACGCUGAGGUGACGAAAGCGUGGGGAGCAAACAGG